CCAGAGAUGCAGAGAGACUGCAGGAGUUGUUGGUGUCAUCGGUAUGGGCUCCGAGAGAUGAUCACUUCGCGGUUUUUCUGAUGGCCACACAAGGGCCAUUUGAGACGAGAUCCCAUUCAUUUGAUCAGGCGCCAUAUUAGCAUACGGGCUCGCUAGAGUUUUCAGCUGUGCUUUGAUUCUGUCACUGAAGUUGGAGUUUCAUAAUCAAACUGAACUGCUAAAGGAAUACAGAAAAUCUGGAGAAAGGCAUGGUAACAUGACAACCAAUAACAAAAUGAUCUCUCGGUGGUAGUUUUUUGCUCCAUGUAGUUGGCGGUCGAGCUUUUAAUACUCAACCUCAAAAGGUCGAUGGUGGACAAAUUUGGCGGUCGAGCUUUGCUGGGACUGUCGUUGUUUACAUUUUCCUUUAUGUUUUUGGUUGUAGUUGCAACUUGCAAGUAAUUCUCCCUGAUUCAAACGAGUUUGAGAUGCCUGUUCUAUAUGUUUUUAUAAGUUUGUUCUGUGGCUUAUAA